AGGAGUGGGAGGUUGCAGCACCUGCCUACUGCCCAUUUUUGGUCCCAGGAGGCUUCAGGGAGGCCUGAUAUGCCCAAACAGGGUGCAGGGAGGUCACGAAUGCAUGUGCAGGAGUUGUGCAUGCAUGCGCAGGGGGACAGGGUGUGCAGGGGGCUGUCACAUGCACAUUGAAUUAAGGGUGUGAGCAUACACAUGCUUUUGGCAUGCGAGGACAAAAGGUUAGUCCUCACUUGCCUAGGUCUUAAUAAGCUUAGAAGAGCAAAACUCUUGUUUAUGUUCAGCUUAUCCUCAGCCUCCCUCCAGAAUUCUCUAUUCCUGUUCUAAUGGACUUCGGCAUCUGACACUGGUCCCUUACAGAUGUUGCAACCAUCAUAAGUCUGAGCAGAGUGACGUAGCAGGAAACAACGUGCAUAUGCAUGGCUGGAGCAUGGAACAGGGCAAUGGUGCGAUGCGUUCAAGAAGUAGCAUGGCUCCAGUAAUUUUCACUGCAAGAAGCCUGAGCAGCCACUGUCUCUUUUUGGCGCAAGAAGCAUCCAGCCGCACCGAAAAAAAGAGGAGGCAGUUGCAAACAUCUCAUAACAAGGAAGGCAAGACCAACAGCGAUGUGCACCAGCAUUACUGGAUGAGCUGAGACUGAUAUACAGUAAAUGUACAUUUUUAUACCA